UUGAUUGGCCCACAUGUUACAAAAUCAUUAAAGGGACAUGUGAGGGCUUAAAUCACCUUCACAACUCGUGCAAUAAGCCUAUUUUCCAUCUGGAUUUGAAAACUUCUAACAUAUUGCUGGAUAAUAGCAUGAAGCCAAAAAUUUCAGAUAUUGGUUUAUCCAAACUUAUUAAUACGACAGAAACAUGUAAAAAAGAGAUAUUCAGAGGAACACAGUAAGUCGAUUAUGUUAGAAGUCCACAAUUUAUGCUGAUAUAUUGCUUUAAUACAUUUUUUGAAUUACACUAAUUGCAUCUAUUAUGCUGAUGACAUCAUGCAGAGGGUACAUGCCACCGGAAUACGUAGACAUGGGCUUAAUAUCUAAGAAGUUUGACGUGUUCAGUUUGGGUAUCAUAAUUAUAAAAAUGAUGGCUGGAAAUAUGGGUUACUCUCGUUAUUUGAAAAUGUCACCCAAAGAGUUCAUUGAGCUUGUAAGAAAGAACUCAUUAUCACCCUAGCAUGAACAUUUAUAGGUCUUUUUCACAUUUUAUGUGUUCAUUUAUUUUUGCAUGCAGUUUAUAUGCUAUCUUUUUAUGGGAGUUUAUGUUCUGAUUUCACAUGUAGGUAAGUGAAAACUGGAUGAAGAGGUUGCAUGCAAUGCCGAGGCACUAUUCAUCGCACGAAAUAGACAUCCUAAGAGUGAUUACAUGUGUUGAGAUUGCAUUAAGAUGUGUGGACAGGGACCGGAAUAAAAGACCCUCCAUAAAAGAUAUUGUCCAUGAACUGGAAGAACUAGAAGCUGAGAUUGACAGAAUAAUGUUACUACCACCUGAUCAUAGGCAGACCCUCUUGUUUAACCAAGGCCCUGGCCCGGAGUUUCCAAAAAUUAACAGCCUAUGUAUGGCCUGUAACUUGGCCCAAUACAAAAUUAUCCUGGAUUUUAAACUCUGUUUAAUUGAAGCUAUUACAAACGGUUUUUCAGAUGAUCAGAAAAUUUGGAGUGAUGGGUAUGGAGAUGUUUACUGGGUAUGUGUGACUAAUUAUAAUAUUUCCUACCUCUAGUUGGCAAAUUAAUAAUACCGCCGUAGGCUACAAUCUAGCCCAUUGUGCUAAUAAGUGGUUUAACAGGCAUUGCAUAAUGGGGAAGAGAUUGUUGUGAAGAGGCUUCAUUCGUUGCAAGGACUUGAUGACAACGGAUUUUUGGAUGAAAUGUAUAACCUUACCAAGGUUCAUCACAAAAUAUUGGACGAUUAAUUGGCUACUGCUACGAACCCUGCCUUCUAAACAUUGAGCACAAUGAAGAACUUGUUUCAUCAAGGACAAUUGAGCGAGUUCUCUGCUUUGAAUAUAUGCGGGGGGAAAGCCUUGACAAACAUAUUGCAGGUAAAAUAUUAUGAUCAACAAUUGGCUCUGUAUGUGCUAGUUCGCAUGCCAAAGAUAAAUGAUUCCCAGGCAUACGCCACUUAUCCUUUUCUUUCCCCUAAUUUGCAGAUGAACCUUGUGGACUUGAUUGGCCCAUACUUUACAAAAUUAUUAAAGGGACUUGUGAGGGCUUAAAUCACCUUCUUAGUGCACAGGAAAAACCUAUUCUCCAUCUAGACUUAACACCUGGUAAUAUAUUUCUGGUUAAGGGCAAGACACCUAAAAUUGUAGGUUUUGGUUUGUGGAGACUUAUUGACUCAACCAAAAUGCAUCAAACAAAGAUUUUCAAAGUAACACAGUAAGUUGAUGGAUCAUGUUAUGAGAAAUUUGUUUUUAGAAAACUUUUAAACAAAGUUCUUGUAUUGACUAAGCCACUAAGUGUAUAUAUCUGUGAUGCUUAUGAUAUCUGCAGCAGGUACAUGCCACCGGAAUAUGUAGACAUUGGCUUUAUAUCAAACAAGUACGACGUGUUCAGUUUGGGCGUUAUAAUUAUAAAAAUGAUGGCUGGAAAUAUGGGCUAUUCUCGUUGUUUCAAAAUGUCUCCCAAAGAGUUCAUUGAGCUUGUAAGGAAAAACUCAUUAUCUA
rnacentral:lncRNA from 1 species